rnacentral:rRNA from 1 species
GUUAGCGGCGGACGGGUGAGUAACACGUAGGCAACCUGCCCUCAGGACUGGGAUAACUACCGGAAACGGUAGCUAAUACCAGAUAAUUCACUUUUUCGCAUGGAGAAGUGAGGAAAGACGGAGCAAUCUGUCACCGGAGGAUGGGCCUGCGGCGCAUUAGCUAGUUGGAGAGGUAACGGCUCCCCAAGGCGACGAUGCGUAGCCGACCUGAGAGGGUGAUCGGCCACACUGGGACUGAGACACGGCCCAGACUCCUACGGGAGGCAGCAGUAGGGAAUCUUCCGCAAUGGGCGAAAGCCUGACGGAGCAACGCCGCGUGAGUGAUGAAGGUUUUCGGAUCGUAAAGCUCUGUUGCCAAGGAAGAACGUCCUUAAGAGUAACUGCUUAAGGAGUGACGGUACUUGAGAAGAAAGCCCCGGCUAACUACGUGCCAGCAGCCGCGGUAAUACGUAGGGGGCAAGCGUUGUCCGGAAUUAUUGGGCGUAAAGCGCGCGCAGGCGGUCAUUUAAGUCUGGUGUUUAAGCCCGGGGCUCAACCCCGGAUCGCACGGGAAACUGGAUGACUUGAGUGCAGAAGAGGAGAGUGGAAUUCCACGUGUAGCGGUGAAAUGCGUAGAGAUGUGGAGGAACACCAGUGGCGAA